rnacentral:snRNA from 1 species
GUGCUCACUUUGGCAGCACAUAUACUAAAUUUGGAACGAUAUGGGAAGAUUAGCAUGGCCUCUGUGCAAGACAACAUAAUCCCUCCACGUUUAUCUGUUUUGU